GAUGAACGCUAGCUCCAGGCUUAACACAUGCAAGUCGAGGGGCAGCAUGGUCUUAGCUUGCUAAGGCCGAUGGCGACCGGCGCACGGGUGAGUAACACGUAUCCAACCUGCCGUCUACUCUUGGACAGCCUUCUGAAAGGAAGAUUAAUACAAGAUGGCAUCAUGAGUUCACAUGUUCACAUGAUUAAAGGUAUUCCGGUAGACGAUGGGGAUGCGUUCCAUUAGAUAGUAGGCGGGGUAACGGCCCACCUAGUCUUCGAUGGAUAGGGGUUCUGAGAGGAAGGUCCCCCACAUUGGAACUGAGACACGGUCCAAACUCCUACGGGAGGCAGCAGUGAGGAAUAUUGGUCAAUGGGCGAGAGCCUGAACCAGCCAAGUAGCGUGAAGGAUGACUGCCCUAUGGGUUGUAAACUUCUUUUAUAAAGGAAUAAAGUCGGGUAUGUAUACCCGUUUGCAUGUACUUUAUGAAUAAGGAUCGGCUAACUCCGUG
rnacentral:rRNA from 1 species